AGUGAACGCUGGCGGUAGGCCUAACACAUGCAAGUCGAGCGGCAGCAGAGUACGUGCUCGUUCUUUCAGCUGGGGACUGGCGAGUGAGUCCUAAAAAUCUCCCUGUUUACUUUUUCUAGGGGCCGGACGCGGGCGCUCAUACCCCAUACGUCCUUACGGCGUACGGGGGGGAUCUUCGGACCUCACGCUAUCAGACGAGCCGAGGAGGGAUUAGCUAGUUGGCGGGGUAAAGGCCCACCAAGGCGACGAUCCGUAGCUGGUCUGAGAGGAUGAUCAGCCACACUGGAACUGAGACACGGUCCAGACUCCUACGGGAGGCAGCAGUGGGGAAUAUUGGACAAUGGGCGCAAGCCUGAUCCAGCCAUGCCGCGUGGGUGAAGAAGGCCUUCGGGUUGUAAGGCCCUUUUGUUGGGGAAGAAAAGCAGCAGGUUAAUACCCCGCUGUUCUGACGGUACCCAAAGAAUAAGCACCGGCUAACUUCGUG
rnacentral:rRNA from 1 species